rnacentral:rRNA from 1 species
AUGGCAUCCGGCGUCAACGAAUGGUUGAACGGCGUAGAGGAGGUCGAAGGGAGUUCUGUAGACAAGUUCCCGGACACGUCCUCGUUCUGUGGCGGUGGUGGAAGGCCGCCGGACUUGGCGGAGCUCCGGAUGGACGCGACGCUCGCGGACAUCGCGCUCCAGAACGGCAGCAGCGAGUUAGUUACUCCGCGAGCAGUUCCGCGAGAGAGAGUGAGGCAGGAGUGCCCAUAUGAUCAUAUGAUGGGGCUUCGGACGAGGGGAAACUGGGCGUCACGGGGGCGGGUUUUAUAG